rnacentral:misc_RNA from 1 species
UACAUCACUUCAAAGAGUUUCUCUUUGAAUGUGGAUCUGGACGUUGCAAUUAUCUGCUCGUCUUAAAUGUGUUAGUCGGUACAACCGUAGCUGAGCGUGAUAAGUUUCGCUUGGCGAAGGGGGCAGCCGGCUUAUAAUCGCCACUUGGUUGGCUCUCGCUGCCUUAGGCGGCUCAUG